rnacentral:rRNA from 1 species
GACGAACGCUGGCGGCGUGCCUAAUACAUGCAAGUCGAACGCAGUGGGGACGGGUGAGUAACACGUUGGUAACCUCCCAUCAGAGGGGAUAACACUUGGAAACAGGUGCUAAACCGAUCCUGAUGGAUGGACCCGCGGUGCAUUAGCUAGUUGGUGAGGUAACGGCUCACCAAGGCCACGAUGCAUAGCCAACCUGAGAGGAUGAUCGGCCACGCUGAGACUGGGACACGGCCCAAACUCCUACGGGAGGCAGCGGUAGGGAGUCUUCGGCAAUAGACGAAAGUCUACCCGAGCAACGCCGCGUAAGUGAAGAAGGUUUUCGGUUCGUAAAACUCUGUUGUUAGAGAAGCGGUAACUAACCAGAAAGCCACGGCUAACUACGUGCCAGCAGCCGCGGUAAUUC